rnacentral:rRNA from 1 species
CCCUUAGAUGUUCUGGGCCGCACGCGUGCUACACUGAGUGGAUCAGCGGGUCAGGUUGCGCGAAAGUGUUUCCUAAUCUUGAAAUCCGCUCGUGAUGGGGAUUGACGGUUGCAAUUUCCGUCAUGAACGAGGAAUACCUUGUAAGCGCGGGUCAUCAUCCCGCGCUGAAUACGUCCCUGCCCUUUGUACACACCGCCCGUCGCUCCUACCGAUUGAGUGGUCCGGUGAGGCUUUGGGAUCUGAGCAAAGAGAGCGUUUCGCUCGUUUUGCCCGGAAAACUCAGUCGAACCUUAUCAUUUAGAGGAAGGAGAAGUCGUAACA